GCCCCUGUAGCUCAGUGAUAGAGCGCUCGCCUUGUAAGCGAGUGGUCGCGAGUUUGAUUCUACGCCAGGGGCUCCA
rnacentral:tRNA from 1 species